rfam:Bacteria symbiont BFo2 of Frankliniella occidentalis strain BFo2 contig097, whole genome shotgun sequence.
UGAAUUCAUUUACUGUUAUGAUGACCUUGUGAUUCAUAAAUAAAAAUGAUGCCAAUAAGGUGCCUUCUGUCCUAGAGUUGAUAAUGCGUUAUCUUAUCUGGACAUCACAGUCGUGGGGCACCUUAUU